rnacentral:rRNA from 1 species
AGGCAGCAGGCACGCAAUUACCCACUCCCGGCACGGGGAGGUAGUGACAAAAAAUAACGAUACGGGACUCUUAUGAGGCCCCGUAAUCGGAAUGAGUACACUUUAAAUCCUUUAACAAGGAUCCAUUGGAGGGCAAGUCUGGUGCCAGCAGCCGCGGUAAUUCCAGCUCCAAUAGCGUAUAUUAAAGUUGUUGCGGUUAAAAAGCUCGUAGUUGGUUCUGCGUGCUACGCUGCCGGUUCGCCGCCUGCCGGUGUAACUGGCAUGCCGUGGCAUGUCCUGUCGGUGGUGAACGGGAGCCCUGUCUAGGUGACGGCCUGAGCUCGCUCAGUGCUGUUGGCCGAGGGUCAACCCCGUUCGCCUAUCUAUCCUACCUAGGUGCUCUUCACCGAGUGUCGAGGUAGGCCGACACGUUUACUUUGAACAAAUUAAAGUGCUCAAAGCAGGCUAAAAUCUCUGCCUGAAUAGUGGUGCAUGGAAUAAUAAAACAGGACCUUGGUUCUAUUUUGUUGGUUCUUAGGAACACAAGGUAAUGAUCAAUACGGACAGGCGGGGGCAUUCGUAUUGCGACGUUAGAGGUGAAAUUCUUGGAUCGUCGCAAGACGCACAAGAGCGAAAGCAUUUGCCAAGUAUGUCUUGAUUGAUCAAGAACGAAAGUUAGAGGUUCGAAGGCGAUCAGAUACCGCCCUAGUUCUAACCAUAAACGAUGCCAGCCAGCGAUCCGCCAAUGUUCCUCCGAUGACUUGGCGGGGAGCUUCUUCCCGGGAAACCAAAGCUUUUGGGUUCCGGGGGAAGUAUGGUUGCAAAGCUGAAACUUAAAGGAAUUGACGGAAGGGCACCACCAGGAGUGGAGCCUGCGGCUUAAUUUGACUCAACACGGGAAACCUCACCAGGCCAGGACAUUGGAAGGAUUGACAGAUUGAUAGCUCUUUCUUGAUUCAGUGGGUAGUGGUGCAUGGCCGUUCUUAGUUGGUGGAUCGAUUUGUCUGGUUAAUUCCGAUAACGAACGAGACUCUAGCCUAUUAACUAGGCGGUUACCGGUGUCCACGCCACCGGCGACAUUCAUUCUUCUUAAGGGGACAGGCGGCUUACAGCCGCACGAGAUUGAGCAAUAACAGGUCUGUGAUGCCCUUAGAUGUCCUGGGCCGCACGCGCGCUACACUGAAGGAAUCAGCGUGUGCCUCCCUGGCCGAAAGGUCCGGGUAAUCCGCUGAACCUCCUGCGUGCUAGGAAUUGGGGCUUGCAAUUGUUCCCCAUGAACGAGGAAUUCCCAGUAAGCGCGAGUCAUAAGCUCGCGUUGAUUACGUCCCUGCCCUUUGUACACACCGCCCGUCGCUACUACCGAUUGAAUGAUUUAGUGAGGUCUUCAGACUGGCGGUAAUCCUA